GCGGCCAACGAGUUGGAACCGACGCAGCGGAGAUGACGACGAAGACUUAGGACGGAUUCCGGUUACGUCCCGGGCCUAGCGCGGCCCCACGGGCGGCCCGCCCCGCCCUAGCGCGCUACGCUCCGCCACGGCCCGCGAGACACGCGAUACCUCGUGGCGCCCUGUGGAGCCCUGCGGUCGCUAGCGCAGCUGGCUCGGGUGACAAUAUUGCACCCCGGUGGCAUAGACAAGUCAGCAGGUAAAGCGCGUCGCGGCCGGUCACGGUGGCCCCCCACCGACGACAUUUCGUAAAUAUCUUUUUGUCAGAAAGCACUUCCUGCUCAAGUUGAAGUAUCCAUGGCCUAUUCCUCCUCGACGAAGUGUUAUUUCUUCGGUAGCAGACCACUUCAUCCAAUCCAAACACCUCUAAAACUGAUUGGAGGGAAAACGGAACAAUGAUUUCAUUUCCCUCCAAAAUUUGGAGGUGAUGUGGAAGUGGUCAGUAGACCAGAAAAUCCCCUCCAAACACAUUAUGGAAUUGCCCUCCAAUGUUGGCGGGGGGCCGUUCACUCUAAACAAAGUAACGUCUACUGUGUCGAUUACCCCUAAAGUCAAUAACAGUGUUCCUAACUUCGGACUUGCGCCCUAAAGUCGGAAAUUGUACCGUUACGAACAAUUUCUUUGCAAUCCAAAGAACGAAAAUUGUUCGUAAAGUUGUGAAGUGUUUAGUUCGUAAGCUUUUUACAGUGCGGUGGCACGCUCUCCUCAGACCCGUGCCUGCCGCCGUGGAGGUAGGCCACCCUUCAACCAUACCGUCUCACCUCUCACCACUCCAACCCCGGGCUGGGCGUGGGCGCACAGCACCCGAGCACCCAACAGCUGACCGGGACCGGCCGACACGACACGCCGUGGCCGUGUCGUGCCUCGUCAUUCCUCCCUGCGGACUCGUCCCAGACUCGUUCAGGGCUGAUAAUUGUUUACUCGUGGCUCGUUGCUUAAUUUGAGCAAUUUGAGACAGUGUGCACUGUAAUCGGUACAUGAACAUGGCGUCUGCCAUUACCGUGGAUGAAAGAGACACUUUAUUAGCCUCCAGUAUGAGCGGGUAAGUUAAGAUUCCACUCCACUGCCGCCGUUGUGCUCAAGAUGUAACUCCAAUCUGACCAUGACCUAGGCUAAGGGCCUGGGCCUAACCUCCCACUUCCACCAUGUGAUUUUUCUUCCCUAGCACCUCUUGUGGUGCAAAGUGAUGUGAUGAUCUGUGUAAUGUUUAAUGCCUUUGUGUUAUGAUGGCAUUACUUAUGUGUUCUGUGUGGUUGUGCACUUUAAGUGAAUUGUGUGAGAAAUUUGCAAGGGUGAAUGGUGACGUCACAACUGAGGUGAAUUUAUGCGCUUGUUUGCGCUUUAUCUCUUUUCCUUGGGCCCAGGGUUUAACCUUUCUAUAUUUUUGUAAGUGUUUUCUGUAUAUUGUGUGCAGUGUAACUGUUCAGACAAGUAAAUGUUCUGCAAUUAGGGUGUGUAUCAUGUGAUUGUGUAUACUUUGUCUACCGUACUAUUUUGUUUUCUGUUGCCUUUAAUGUAGUGUGUCAACGCCUUAAAUUUUUGUUUGGACUUUCACUAUUUUGUUUUGGAUGAUUUAAAUGAUUGUUUAAUCAAUUCUUUGCGACUGUUUGACUACAUGUUCGCUUUUCAAUCCAAUGGAUGCAUUAAUGAAUUUCUCAUUUGCCACGAUUCUUUUGGCUAUUGAAAAAUUAAUGUAUUUAAAAGGCAAGGGUAUAGAUUUUUUUGUUCAAGUGUUAUUAUAAAUUUACUAUUAUGCCAUGCAUUGAUUUGACUUAAUGUGUUUAAGAUCAGAAAAUAAUGUGAGUUAAAUUAUUUGUGGGUUCAUGCCCCACGUUAGUGCUCAUAGGUAUUGCUUUUGAUUUGGCUCAUCAUAAGAUCUACAAAUGUAAUAAAUGCUUGCCUGACCCUCUCAAAAAUAUUUCUUAAUAAUUCAAUCAAACUGAAAUUAGACCUUCCAACUAAAACAGCCAGGGAAAAUACCCGAGAAGAGUUUGUGCACAAUCUUACCCACUACUAACCCCAUGACAGCGGACCGCCCGAUGCUCCCCUCUGCCUCCCUCUUGGUCGACCCGUACCACGCCCCUGACCGCCCCUUACUCUUCACUGUGGGUAUUUGUUUGGUGUUAUAACACAGUACUGUACCCAAAAGCCGUUCCCGGAAAGAUUCAUAUCAAAACUUUACGUCGAUUAGAGAGACAUUCGUAUCGAAACUACAACAUUUCGACGUAGAUUCCACCAUUUUGAGAUAAUUUCUUUGUCGAAUCAACUGCCACUUCGCACUGUUUUAUUUUAUUUUAUUUCUUUUUCAGACUAGCAGCGAUGUUCGGUAACGCUCGUCUCUGCCGCCGGCCGGAAUCCAAGAUGUUCACAAGGCCAACAGGAGAAUCGAUAGUGUUCAACUUGUACCAUUGCUCAGACAAAGAAUCCUUGGCCAGAAAUAUCGAGUCUGGAGGCGGGCCCGUAGUUUAAAGAGAUACAUUCGAGCGUAACUCUUACAUACUUACUCUUCGAGAUGGGGCGGUAAGGUCGCUCAUUGUGGAAGAUGAGGAGCAUUUUUCUUCGACCUUCGUGUGGGAUAGCAUGAAGAAGCACGAGCUCCAAAACAUCCAUGACUAUCGAUCUAAUAUAACGUCCAACUAUAGUCCGAACCUCGACAUGGAAUGUAUUUUGCGCGGACAGCAACGGACCUUGCAGGAAAUGGCGAAGCUGAAACUUGUGCCACGUAAGCGGUAUACGCCGAAGGAGAAGGAGGCCAUUGUGGCCUAUGUUAUUAAGAACAUCAAAGAAUACCAUAAUGGAGAUAGACAAAAGUUUUGGUCUGGAAUGUCUGGGAACUUUGGAAUUCGAAGUGGGGAUGCUCUGCGCAGCAGUUCAGUGCGAUAGUGCUCGCCAAGAAAUUGAGGCCGGACAUGAUGGAGCAGCUUGGAGAUGCUUCAAACAACUGGGAAGGACGACCCACAGCAGAAAAUGAAGACCAUACGGCUGCUCGAGUCCAAGUGGAGGUGGAGACGACCAACUGCGUGGUUACACGGUCCAAAAGGAAGCAGGCCGAAGCAAAAGG